AUAAGAGAAAAACCAGUAAAAGAAGUUAGAUGAUUGUAGGGGAAAAAAAGUUAAAGGAGUAUUUCAGUGAAGGUGGAUUGAAACUAAACGAACAAAUAAUACUUUUAUGGCUGCGUUUGGUUCAGAUAUAAAUAAGAAUAGCUUAUUUUACGGAUACGUACAAGUUCAGAUAUAAACAGAAAUUAGACCAAUUUUGUAUUUGAAUGAAAAUUAAGUUGUUCUUACGAAUAGGACAAAUGAUAUUUGGAUGGUUAGAUUGGAAUAAGAGAAAUAAGAGAUAUAAUUUUAAAUUAAAAAUAUUUUAUCUAAGUAAUUAACAUCAAAAUAUUAAUUAAAAAUAAUUUAAUAAAUUAAUAAAUUUAUUAGCUAUGAAUAUUGUAUAAGAUAAUGAAAAUAUAUUAAUUAAUUAAUUAAAUUAAAUAUAGAAAAUAAUAUAAUUUUUUAAUUAGUUAGUAAAUUAUUUUAAUUAAAUAACCGGUAGAAAAAUUAAUUAGAUGAUAAAAAUAUUAAUAGUCGAUCGAUAUAAAUAUUAAUUUAUGAAUAAACACGUUGAAUUGUUAAUAAUUAAUUAGCUAAUUAAUUAUAAAUAAUAAAUUAAUUAAUUUAUUUAUUAUUUAAGCAAUGAAUAAUGAUUUAAAUAUAUUAAUUAAAUUAAUUAAUAAUUUAAUAUCAUAAUUAAAAUUAAAUUUAGACUUAAUUAAUCUUGUUCCUCCUUGGAACAAGCUUGUUCUGGAAAAAAAAGUGAAACAACAGUUUCAAACUUAUACCAAAUUAUACUUAAAAAUAUAAAAAUUACCGUUCUGAUACCAAAAAUUAGCGUUUGGAAACAAAAGGGAGGACAAGGAGUUAUUCCCCCCCCCCCCCCAAAGAAUAAUGAUUGUACUUUCUUGGAAAACAAGACUUUGAUUUUUUUUUUUUUUGUUAUAUUUAUUAAACUGUAGAUCUUCGCUAGUUAGAAUUAAAAGUACACAGGCUGACAAAUUAAGUACUCCAAAUGUAAUUAACAAACAGUAAUGUUUAUAAAGAAAUGGGUAAACUUCAAAUAUCACCCCUGCGCUUUCACACUUUCUUACUUUAGUACCAUGUGAUUUAAAAUGCAUCAAUUUAGUCGGCCCCUUCGUUAACUUCUGGUUAAAUUAGAUACCCCACAUAUAAUUUAUCGAAUAUUCACUUUAGUACCCUUUAGUUUUAACAUCGUGAUUUUAUGAAAAAAUUAGUGUAGAAAAUAACAAUAAGAGAAAAAUAAAACCACAUUGUACGAAAGCAAUACACUUUAAAUCAUAAAAUAAUAAUGUGAGAAAGUACGGAACUAAAUGGAUGGUAUUUGAAGUUUUUCCUAUAUAUAUAUAUAUAUAUAUAGAGUCCGGCUACUAUGCUAU
rnacentral:lncRNA from 1 species